rnacentral:rRNA from 1 species
CACGUAGGGGACGAGCGUUGUCCGGAUUCAUUGGGCGUAAAGAGCUCGUAGGCGGUCUGUCGCGUCGAUCGUGAAAACUUGGGGCUUAACCCUGAGCUUGCGGUCGAUACGGGCAUGACUGGAGUUCGGCAGGGGAGACUGGAAUUCCCGGUGUAGAGGUGAAAUUCGUAGAUAUCGGGAGGAACACCAGUGGCGAAGGCGGCGACCUGGGCCAAUAUUGACGCUGAGGUGGCGAAAGCGUGGGGAGCAAACAGGG